AUGACAUGAAAUUUAUGGCUGAAAAGUAUGACCGAACUUGUAUUGAUCGUCUCAAAAUGGUCUCUUCAACCCCUUUUGUUCGAAUUUCCUACACGGAAGCUGUUGAACUACUUGAGGAAGCCGUAAAGAAGGGCAAGGAAUUUGAGAACAAAGUGGAAUGGGGGAUUGAUUUAGCUUCGGAGCAUGAAAGAUACUUGACCGAGGUUAUAUUUAAAAAGCCUGUCAUUGUCUAUAACUAUCCAAAAGGAAUCAAAGCAUUUUAUAUGAGACUCAAUGACGACUUGAAAACUGUAGCUGCAAUGGAUGUUCUUGUACCUAAGGUUGGGGAAUUGAUUGGUGGAAGCCAAAGGGAGGAGCGAUACGAAGUUAUUCAUGACAGGAUCAAGGAGAUGGGUCUGCCACUUGAACCAUAUGAAUGGUAUCUUGAUCUGAGACGAUACGGGACAGUCAAGCACUGUGGUUUUGGUCUCGGCUUCGAGCGGAUGCUUCUUUUUGCCACCGGCAUUGACAAUAUCAGAGAUGUUAUUCCCUUCCCCAGAUAUCCAGGACGAGCAGACCUAUGAUUAUACAACACAAAUUCUUAAGUUCCCUUACUACCUGAUGAAACUAGAGACCUUCGAAUGAGAAGAUUUGAUUGUUUGUAUUAUACAUCUUUCGAAUUGUUGGGUUUUAGUUUAUUCUCAGAAAUUUUUGGAUUGGUGAGAUUUAU
rnacentral:misc_RNA from 1 species